AUGAAGAGAGUGCUACUGCAUGAAGAAAUGCUCAACAACGGAGGAAGGCUUCAGCCGGAAGACGCGAGGCAAACAUCAGAGUCAGGAAGCUGCGAUAUCAGCCGCGGAAGUAGUGUUGGACGGUGUCGAAAUUUGUUGAAGUCAGAAGUUGAGCGGAUUGUUAUUGAUGCGGACUGGAGAAGAAUUGACGUUGGGAGUUUGUGUAGCAUAACACUCGCGUGCGUAAGCCGCUACUUUUGGCGGAAGGAUGAAAGUUUUACGGGUUCUAUAGAUGAAUUAAUGAUGAAGCUGGAGGAAGUAGACGGAAGGUGGGUGAGUUCGACGAAGGUUCAUGGAUGGUAG